CCGGCUCAGAAAAAGUGAAACUCUCCCUUCGCUGCAUUUGUUUUGCAUUUGUUGUACAGUUGCUAGUCACUGUGGGGGAAAAAAAAAACUGGCAGCUUUGACUCUUUCACGCCAAAUUGUGUUAAGGACAUGCUGCUGUGCUAUAGUGACGGUGUGUUUUCAGAAACAGUCGGCUGGACAGCUCGCCAAGCUGAGCAAACAGAAGGCAGUGACCAUGAUUUACCCGGCUCUGUAGCCUCUGUAUUUAGUCUUUCCAGCCACCACUGCUAGCAAGUGCCUCAAAGAUAAGUUGAAGAAGCAAGUAAAAGCAUCGCAAAGACCUCAUAUGUGACGUGCUGAACAUUUUCAGGUAAGUGUAACUCUGUAGAAACGGUUGCUAUGGCUCCCUCUUUUUUUUUUGCAAGUUUUCCUCAAAAACACAUAAUAAAGCAGAUACAACACGAGGCGAAGUUAAGGGAAAAGUUAAUGAUUAUCGAGUACUAAUAGGAAAAUUGUAUGGAAACUAUCAAUACCAGAUUAAUUUGUAACAUGAUUAUGUAAUUCUGUUCUUGCUUGUGAGAAAAAAAAAGGAAUUCGGCCACAACAGGUGGCUUUCAAGUAAACAUGACCAGUUAUUUUAAGCAGAUGAGCUUCCUUCUCUUAAAGAUAGCCUGUUUUUGAUGGCUUUAUUACAUUAUAGAUUAUCUGACAUCCUCACAACUACUUUCUAUAAAGGGCUUGGCUGAAUUCAUGCCACAUAUUAUUCACUUUUCUGACUGUUUAAGACACCCCGAUGAAGUUAAAAAUGCAGACAGGACUAAAACGUCAUAAGUUGGCCCAUACUGCUUUGCCUGUCCACACUCUAGCACCCUUAGCUUUACUAUCACACAGGAAUGGAUACUUCCUUAUGCAGGUCCGUACACUACACACACACCAAUUACAUCUCCUUGGAAAGUAUUGAUAAUCCUGUACAUGUUGCAACACUAUCAGACCAGACUGACCUCUGGUAACAUGCAAUUAUAUGUGGGAGGGCUGGAAAUGACUGGGCGGGUGAUAACAGGGUCAUAAAAGUAGCUGUCUGAAUAUAUCAGAUGGGAGGCAGAAGGGAAGCAAGGCAUCAGUGACACCCUCUCAGUUUUUGACCUGAGAAGUCUCUUUGACUACGUCGAUUUAUUCCCCGUUUUCAAAGCACAAUGAAGCUGAGUCUUCUUCUACAGGCUUUUUGCCUUCUUACCACAGUAUUUCUGUGUGGAGGAGAGGGUGAGAUUACUGCAACACCAGCAACCACCAUCACAGAAAUAUCAACUGCUCCAUCGACUGCUUCAACUGAUGGAUCCAACACGGCCACAGUCACCGCAUCUGACACCACCAGUACCACCAUCAUCGGAACUGAUUCUACUGAAUCAGUUCCUACCACUGAGAUUGUUAAGGAAUCCAACUCAGGGCUUUCACCGGGUGCUAUAGCAGGCAUCACCAUCGGCUCCAUUGCCGGUGUGGGAGCAGUCGGUGGUGGUAUCUUUGGUAUAUUGAAGUACACAGGGAAGAUCUAAGACCAGCUGUUGCACAAUAAGGAUCGAAGUGGAUGUAGAUCGUCAGAUGAAACAUGUCCUAUCCUGAGAUCAGACUUAAUCCUGACCAUGCUGAGUGGAUAGAGGAAGGCUUAAAUGUCUGAAUGGCUCAAGAAGGAAUAAACUGAUAUAUGUAUAGUAUAUGUAUAUUCAAGAUUGUGAUCUCAUGGGCCAAGAGGAAGACAUAAUAAUGUCUGUUUCACCACUUUGCUAUUUUGAUUGCUUGACUGAAGGCCAGAAAAUAAUCCUUAGCUGAUCAAAACAUUUACAUAAUAGUAUGAAAUGUAUUUAUAUUUUAUUUGAUAUUUGUAUCUUAUUGACAGAUACUACUCAUCUAGUGGGUUCAGUGUAUUUAAUUUUAUGAGUUAAUCUUCCUAUUGUCCUUCACAUUUGAUGUUUUGUUUCAGUAUAAAGGGUAGACUGUUUAACUAUAAAAAAAAGGCUUUUUUGGAUACAAAACAAUGAUACUUAAGCUUUUCUAUUCUUUUAUAAAGGUAAAGAAUCUUUGUAAGUGAAUACCGAUAUUUCCUUUAAGCUAAAUAAUUUAAUUUUAUUGAUAACAUUUUCUUAAGAUUAAUUUGGCAUUUUGCUCAAAUACUGUAAUUUCCUAGUGAAAAGCUUUGCAAUCACUAUGUUUUAAAUAAAUACAUAAAUAUAAAAGUAUCAUCUGCUUUCUAUAGCAUGCAAUUCUGUCUAAUAAAAGAGUUGCUUGAGCCAUCUAGACUAUUGACUUAUACACAUACUUCCUUUAGUAGCUGAGUUAUUUGUUUAGUUUAUGAGUUUAUGACUUUUCCACCCAUCUUAGGCUUGGUGCUUCAGUUUAUGGUACAAUGAUGGUUAGGAUUGAGAACAACAGUCUAUCAUUGAAAACAGAUUGAGAAAAUAAUGUUUUGUUUGGGACUAGUUUUUUGCAAGCUUUCAAACACCUAGUGUUUCCUCAAUAAUCUGGGUCUUGCAUUGUUUGAUUUUAUGCAGUUUUGUCUCUCUGACACUUGCCCAGCUCAUGCUAGCUUGAAGAAAAAGAAUUUAAUCUUUGACAAAUAAAUAACAAAUACAGUCAAACACAAAAAACAAUGAAAUCGACAUGAAAUAUAUAACGUUCUAGUGUUAGCUAGCUAGCUAGUGUUAGCUAGCGACCAGCAAAUGUAGAACUUUUUUGUGAAACUCUACAAGAAAAAACUAAAAGUAAUCAAACUGUACUUGAAGUAAAUUCAAAAUGCCAACUAUGACAAUUAUGUGCCCAAAGCUGUGGUGUAAAACGGUUGAUGCCAUACUCAUGGUUAUGGUAGGGUGACCAACUGUCCUCUUUUUCCUGGACAUGUCCACUUUUCACAUUCUGUCCGAGCCGUCCGGGGGCAUUUUCGAGAUUGAUGAAAAUGUCCGGGUUUUUCUAUAGGCCUACAGAGGACCCAUAUGUGUGACGUCAUCCUGAGCUGCUGCUUCGUGAGUGGUUGUUCUGCGUUCACAGACGGGACAGACAGCGUGCAGCAGCAUGCCUGAUGAUGUUUAAAAGAUGCCAAAGCGCAAGUGCAGCUUCCCUCGUACCGUCCCGGUAGUGGUAAUUUUUUUUUAUACAGAUGAGGCCUUAUUUCUGUACCAUUAUUUAAUUCCAGGGGUUUUUAAGUUAUUUUUUUGCACUUGUUGACUUGAAAAAGCCUAUAUGACAUUUUUUAUUUCACCAUUCAGCUGAAGUUCUUCAUGGCUGGGCCAAGUGUCCUCCUUUUUGGAAAUCAAAAUAUGGUCACCCUAGGUUAUGGUAAGGAAAAUAGUCAGAGGGUACUGCUAGCUAUUAAUACCAGUACUUUCUCAGAUUAACAUUAGCAAAAAGGCUGGAAAAAGGGGUGAAAUACAGCCUAGAAAAUUAUGGAAUUAAAUUAGUGCUGUCAGCAUUAAUCUCGUUAAAAUGACGUUAAUGGAAUAACCACAUUAACGCAGCAAAUCUCAGUUAGGGUGCAGCCCCAUGCUUGGGGCUGCACAGCGUCAAAGCGUUAACGCGGUUAGCUCGUUAACCUGUUAGCACCGUGCAAUAAUCAGGCCCAACCAAUAUAACCCCCACAAUAAAAUUAUAAUUUAUCUUGCAUAAAUAGGCUGUUGAUUUUCUUUACUCAUUUCAGGUAUUACCAGCAAAACAGUUGCAUGUUUAAUCAUCUGGGAAUUUACCCAGAUUUAUUUAUUUAUUUAGACAGAGAUCUUGACCCCCCCAAUGUUCAGCACAAAGUUACGCUGAUGUCGCUAACGGAGAUUUACCGCGUUAAUGCGGUUAUGCCGUUAAUGUCAUUUUAACGAGAUUAACGCUGACAGCACUAAAUUAAAUGAAAUAUUUUGUUUAUUUAAUCUACACAAACACUAAAGUAAAAAAAAAAAAAAAAGACUUUUUGAAUAAAACAGGUUUUUAACAGGUUUGAAUAUUUUGCUAGUUCCCUACAGUCAACUGAGAGCCACAAAAACUAACUCAGCAGAUUUUAUUUUAUUUAUUUAACAUUUAUUUAACCAGGAUACUGUCCUGGAUAAGAUAGAUAGCAGUACAAACUAUAAUGGUCAGAC
ensembl:lncRNA